rnacentral:rRNA from 1 species
AGUGAGCGCUGGCGGUAGGCCUAACACAUGCAAGUCGAACGGCAGCACAGUAAGAGCUUGCUCUUACGGGUGGCGAGUGGCGGACGGGUGAGGAAUACAUCGGAAUCUACUUUUUCGUGGGGGAUAACGUAGGGAAACUUACGCUAAUACCGCAUACGACCUACGGGUGAAAGCAGGGGAUCUUCGGACCUUGAGCGAUUGAAUGAGCCGAUGUCGGAUUAGCUAGUUGGCGGGGUAAAGGCCCACCAAGGCGACGAUCCGUAGCUGGUCUGAGAGGAUGAUCAGCCACACUGGAACUGAGACACGGUCCAGACUCCUACGGGAGGCAGCAGUGGGGAAUAUUGGACAAUGGGCGCAAGCCUGAUCCAGCCAUACCGCGUGGGUGAAGAAGGCCUUCGGGUUGUAAAGCCCUUUUGUUGGGAAAGAAAAGCAGCAGGUUAAUACCCCGCUGUUCUGACGGUACCCAAAGAAUAAGCACCGGCUAACUUCGUG